CACUGAAGACGUCAACGAAGACGUCGAAAAUAAUUCACUACUCAGUAAUUAAAGAUUUCUGAUUUUAAAUUCAGGACAGCCGUAAAUUGGUUUGUAAUGGUGUUAUUAAUUAGUGUUAUGUGUGGAUAAUUAAUUAAUCUGCAGCAAGUGCGUAGUUUGAUAUGACGUAAAAUUUAAUUUUCACUAUGGAAAAUUUGCGGUUAUAUCUCGCUACCUACAAUGUAGGUACGAGCGGUCCGGAUCAAAAAGUUCUGGAUUUUUUGUCACUUUGCAACCAGAAAAGUGAUAAGUUAGCAGAUUUCUACAUUUUGGGCUUUCAGGAAGUAAAAGCCCAACCUCAAAAUAUGCUUAUGGACACUCUAUUUGAUGAUUCAUGGACAUAUGCUUGCAAACAAGCUCUUCAAAUUAGAGGCUAUGUAAAAAUUAAGUCGGUUCGAUUACAAGGAUUGCUAUUGUGUAUUUUUUCCUUGAGGAAGCAUUUGUUGAAUAUUAGGGAAAUUGAAUCAGAAUAUACAAGGACUGGAUUUUCUGGCAUGUGGGGAAAUAAAGGUGCAGUCAGUAUUAGGUUUAGUAUUUACGGUUGCUCACUGUGCAUUGUGAAUUCACAUCUUAGUGCCCAUGAUCAUCAACUGAAAGAUAGAAUUGUGGAUUAUAAUAAUAUUAUUAAAGACCAAGAAUUUCAUGUUGAAGAAACAUCAGCAAUUUUAUACCAUGACUAUGUAUUUUGGUUAGGUGAUUUAAACUUUCGGUUAAAUGAAGAAUAUGAUCGCACCCCAGAAGAAAUUGAGAGAACCAUUUUGAAAAAAGACCUGAAAAAGCUAUUUGAGCAUGACCAAUUAAGACAAGUUAUGAAAAGAGGGGAAGCUUUUAGUGAGUUCACAGAGAAAGAUCCAGAUUUCCCACCCACCUUUAAAUUCGAUGUUGGCACGAACUCUUAUGAUCACAAGAGGAGGCCUGCUUGGUGCGAUAGAAUUCUCUACUGUGUUAAUUCUAACAACUAUGAAAAUAUUACACUUAAAGUAGAUCAACUCAGUUAUAAGUCUCAUUCCAAUUAUCUGUUGAGUGAUCACAAACCAGUCAGCGCAGAAUUCAUUAUUAAGAUACCACCUCAAGUAGAAAGAGAUUUUGCAAGACCCAGAGGGCGUACUGUUUCAUCUGUCGUUUCCGAUCAGGUGUUUUCAGAUUACUCCGAGUGUGUGGUUCAAUUUGAGAAAAUUGCUAGAUGGGAAGACGGUGAGGAUAAUAAGGCUUACUAUAAAAUCACCAAAAUUAUUCCUCAGACAAAGGAUGACUGGAUUGGCUUGUAUAAGGAAAAUUUCACAUCACUGGAUGAUUAUGUUACCUACGAGUAUAUAAACAAAUGUGCAUCACCUCUGACAGAAAUCCAUCGUCCGCCAAAUUUGGAAAGGCCACAUAAAUAUGAGGUGACUAUUCCAGAGCUGCCAAGUCGCUGCAAAGGCAAUUACUGCUUAGUAUACUUUAGUCAAACUGAAGAUAAGGAUGUGUCAUGGCUGCGCCGAUGUUCGUUGUGAAGAAAAAAAAAACAAAUGCCGCACAGACCGAUUUCCAAAACGGACGCAGGAGGCGGUACAACGCUCCUCGCCGCGCGCUGACUCAAACUAUUUUAUUGUAACAGUCUAAGGUCAGGGAAUCCCAAUUUGUAUAUAAAUCGUACGCGUUGAGUCCGCGUAUAAGCUGCCCGACACAAAGCCGGCGUAUGAGAACAUUAGAGAGGCGCAACAAGCAAGACAACAGCCGGGAACACAGUAGCACGACGACCAACACAACCAAACUGCGCAUAAGCAGGUUACAACGCUGAAUUGACGCUUUUACACAAACUCUGUUGCUUUUGAGAGAGAUCUAAUAUUAUCCAGUGUUGCAAAUCACAUUUAAUUUCAUAAAAAUCGAUUAAUUUAAAAAUCAUGCCUAACAUGGACCAAGGCAGGUAAGGAAGGGUAGUCAGGUAGAUGUCGACCACGUGUCGGCUGAUUAUCAGUGACAGUGUUCUUCUUACCGUCGCUCCUCAUUAGAUACAAAACAAUUUGUGAAAAAAGUUUAUGAAUGAACGUCAGCAGAUUUGUCAGUACCAUCUCAAUUUCUUGGCUUCGAUGGUAUCCAUAACAUAAGUAGCUAUAUUCAGUCUUAUAUCUUCAUUUAUUAGUCUGUCCAGUAAAGUUAGUCAACAGCACCAUCUCCAAUAUCCCAAUACUCUCAGAAAAUUAAAAAGUAUAUAUCAAAACACAAAUGUGUAAUUGAAAUAGAUGAAACUUAGAUCAAUACACGCGAUACAGUAUCCAAAGGAUGGGUUGGUUCCAGUAGAAACUAUCAGGCAAGAGCACCUUCAAAUAAAAGAAAAUGCAUCACUAUAAUUACCGCUGGAUCAGAAGAGGGAUUUGAUAUAUCACAUCAAGACACAAGUGAAGGACUUUUUGAAGACUUCCUUUACAAUUAUCUUCUAAAAAAUAUUCCUGAUAAUAAUUUUAUUUCAAUGUAAUAUAUAACUAUAAUAUAUAUGUAAUAUAUAAAUAAUUAUAUAAUAUAUAAUAAUAAAAAAACUGAAAUUCAAGGAUAUUUGUUACAAAAUGAUAUUUUAUAUACAGUUAUAGGAAUAAUAGGUCUGUGAUAGUUUAGCUGAAUCGAUGGGGCAUACUGUUUUACUGUUUAAGAACAUUUGUGGCACCAAGUACAUUCAAAUAUGAGAGCAGAAAUGUUGCUCCUACAUUAAAUACUAGCGUAAUAAAUUUAACUAAAAAUGUCAUUCAUUAUAUACCUACCUUGGACUGGAAAAAUACAGUACCAAAGAUUUUAAAAUUGAAAUUUCUUAAAUUUUCAUACAGAAUAAUAUAAAACACAUUGUAAGUAAUCUUAAUGAAGAAUCUGAGAGUUGAACAAAAUGAAAUCGUACCUCUUGAGGUAUUUGGUAUCAUCGUAUUGUCUAUUAAUACUAAUGUAAUUUUAAUAAACCCAAAUAAAAAUAAUAAAAUAUUUAGUCUUUAUAUUUUUAAAACGGCAAAAAUGUUCUGAUGCUUGCCGUCAAAAGUUAAGGUGAUAUACUUCGAGACAGACCAUACGCAGCAUUGCGUGGAAUAAAUUUAACAGCGCAAUUUAGCCCCUUAUGAAUAUAGACAUUGUAUUUGAAAAUAAAGCGUGACCUAAGUUUGCGAUUGUUAAAGAAUAUGAGAGUCCAAUUAAUUGGUGUUUAAUGCUGAAAACCGAGAUCUGUUUCCGCAUUAUGCUAAAUGCUUCUCGAAAAUGGGCAUUUAAAAAAAUCGUUGUAACUUUUUUUUUAUGAAAAAAUUUCCAAAGACCUUUUUUACAUAGAAUUCAACGGUUGAUCUACACAUAAAAGAGUAACUUUUUUUAUAUGGGACAUCCUAUAAAUACAUAUUGGAAAUUUAUUUUACACUCGUCCCAAAAAGCAUCGCGUAAGUGGUAUACGCCUAAUCAUAUUUCUUGUUAACAUUUAAUGGGAAGGGGUUAUAUUUAGGAAUCUUUGUUUUGUUUUUGCUGAUUUCACCAAAUGGAAAAAUCAGAACAUAAUGAGCAAAAGUAAUGAAAAUAACAUUUAUUUGAAAAAUAAAUUAAAAAUGUAAAGUAACAAAAUAACAAAUUCCAAAGAGAAUUUUUACAAUUCAAUUCAGUAUGUAAUUCAGUAAUGACAUCUCUUCUUAUCAAUUACGUAUUAUUAUUAUUUAUUCUAAGAUUAAGUUUUCCCAUUUUUCUCUUGAAACAUUUCCUAACUCAUCAAGAUGGCGUGGAGCAAUAUUACGAGCUCUUAUGCAUCUUCCUAGGUAGUUCCAAACAUGUUCGAUUGAGUUUAAGUCUAAAAUAACUCUUACCUCCAAUAUUUCUGACUACUCUUAUGUUACACUGAAGAAAUCUCACCCUAGCACGUCUAUCAGAUCCAAAAAGUGAAAAUUUUGACUCAACCGUAAAAAGAAUAUCAGCCUAGUCGUUAAUAUCCCAAUUAACAUGUUCUCUUGCGAACUUUAAACGUGCCACACGAUGUGGCUUAGUUAACAAAGGAGCAGUAACAGGCAUUCUAGCUCUUAUUCCAAAUUCGCUUAAUUUGCUUCUAAUCCAAUUGAUAUAUAUAUAUAUAUAUAUAUAUAUAUAUAUAUAUAUAUAUAUAUAUAUAUAUAUAUAUAUAUAUCUGAACAUUACGGACUCUGAAGACAGCAGUUUGGAGGUGCCUGGCUGAAUAUAGAUUUGUAUAUCCCGGACAGUUCUGGUUUUCUAAAUUUUGCCAUUUCAAUAUUUUUCCUGGAAAUAGACCUAAUAGUUUGCACGUUCGUGACUCGGAGUUAACCAUGACAGUCUAAGAAAAAGUACAGAUUUAUUGAAAGCUUCUAUAAUUUUCUUUUGUGUGAUGGUGUCGGUUUUUGAAGAUAAUUGUAAACUUUUGCAAGAUUAUCCUUAAAUAGAAAACAAUGUUAAAUAAUCUUCCAGUGUAUAAAUAAUUUUCUGAUGUGACAGCAGAAAAUCAUUUCUUUCCUACUUUGUCAUGGUUAACUCCGACUGAUUCGACAUAAAGGUGGAUUUGUAGAGGCAAAUGCUCAGAUAUAUCGAAAACUAGGAAUAUUAAUGAUAUAUAUCCUCAUAGAAAGUUGCCCUAGUUUUUAAUUCUAAAUAAGAUAAAAUUAACAAAAUAUUUUUUCUAUCAGUGUGCAGCAUUAGUUAUUUAUCGAAAUUUUUAAAUAAAGAUGUUGAACCAGAAGUUCGAUGAACUCCACUUUUGUAAAACAGUUUGAAUCGAUUCACUUAAUGGCAUCUGACCGUUAAAAUCAACAAACGUCAAAGAGUACGGAGCAGAAAUAGUAUAUUAUGUAACCAGUGCGGUAUUUGACUCGCAAGUUUAUUUGACACGAACGGAGCGAGUGUUUAAUAAACGAGUGAGUUAAUAAGUUUACCUAACGUGUUGCGUACUAUACUUUUUCUACGACCGUUAGUUUUUGAAUACAUUUUCCCAAAACAACACGAAUACGUUCACUGAAAUAACUGCAAGAAUUGACAAACGUCAAAAUUCAAUGCGUGAGAAAUAUCUCCGAAAACAUCCGAUUGCUCCCAAACCGGUGCGGUAAAAUCGGAUCCGUGGGAAACGAAACUUACAUGGUAAAGUGCCGCUUCCCGCACGCUAGAUUGGUGGGUAAUUAGGCAUUUUACAGAAGGGAUUAGAAAAAGAUUAAUUUCAUUUCAUAAAGAAUUUGUUUUUAAACGCUUUUGUGUACCAGAGCCAAAAACGGCGUAGUUAUUUGUCGGCUAGUGUAUACUAUUUCCAGCUUUGUCUUUUUUUAGCUUCCACUCAUUGACAGCGAGAACGAAUUGAGACAAAUCGUGCAUGCGUAGCGUUCCGAAAAACAAGCCGUUAGUAAGUGCCGUAGAAAACUAAACACACCGCUCGGAUAAAUUAGAACAAAUUUUUACCUACGUAAAGCGACCGAUUAACGUUUGCGUAAAUUGGGCCGACGAGUGUAAUUUUAUCUCGAAAAUGGCAUAAUUCAUUUAUUUCUUUCGCUUGAAAAAUAAUGCCAGUUGCGGUUAGCGUUAUGUUUUCGUCAGACCAUUUUGCAAUAUCCGCCGAGUAGCUAAAUGUGUCUGUGAACGUUCAAAUGUGAUAACAAACUGUACAUUAUGCUAAAAAUUUGAUAAAUGACACUUCAGUCACGGUUUUGGCUCCCCGUAGCGAAAGUACCAGAAAGCUGAUGUUAUAAACUGGCACUUUGUGCAUGCCUUCUUAAACUUAUAACUCGAUCAGGGUUAUUGAAGAAACGUGGCAAUAGACUUAAAGCAAAUUUUAUUAAAACAAAAAUACACUUGAACCUCAAACAUUGCUAUUAAAAGUUCAUCGUGUGUAUAGUGGUCUUAUUUAUAGCAUAAAACCGCAUGUGUAAAUCAUUUAUGUUUGUGAUUUCCAAAUCAAUUUGAUUACUGGGUAUUUUAGAGAAGGCACUAGAAAAUAGUAUAUUAUGCAACAAGGUUGAAGAACAACACUUUAAUCACGCUUUUCCAAACUUGUGACCGGAAAUUUGCAAAGCGGUUCGUGACCAUGGGUAACGAAGCUGAUGUGUUAUUCUGUAUUUUGGAGUAGGGAGUUGAAAAAUGGUAUUUUAAUUCGGAUUCGCAAAAUUGAUCAACCGGAACUUUCUGCCCGUUUGACGCGUUUGGAAGAAAAAUAUUGGAAAUGGAAUUUAUAACAGUUUUGAAUUUGUGCAGGUCUCAAUUGAAGAAAAUCUAAUCGCUGCAUGCAUAUCUAACGCGUGAGACAAUAAUUCCCUAAUUCAACAAUAUUCAAAAUUGUCCUAAUAUUGUUUUUAUUAGUAAAUUUUGUUGUUAGCGAGUUUAUGCAGAUACUGUUUUAAAGGCGGUAAAAAAAUGAAGUUCGAUUUCAUAUAUGUUCUUUGUGUAUGAAAAAUUCAAAACUUUGAAAAACCUUAUUUUAUAAUUAUUAUUCUUUAAAUAAUAAUUAAUUUUAUUGUAAUAGUAAGUUUAAUGAAAAGGCUAGGAUUUGAAUGAAAAUAUAAUUAGAGUCAUCUUUAUUUUAUUAAUGUAUUAUAUUUAACAUAAUGUAAGAAAACAUUAAUCGUCGUAGAAAAGGUGUAGUGUGCAACACAUUGAUAAAUUUAUGCAGUCAUUAGUUUAUUAACAUAGUAUUAAUAUAACAUAAACUCCAAAGUUGCAUCUUCGAUAUCACCGUGUCUAGCAGAAACGCAAUAUUUGGAGCUAUAGUAUAUAUUAUAUGAAAAAUGUUAUAACUUUAAAUAUUGUGUCUUAUUUCAUUUCAUAACUGAUACAAAUUGAGACUGACUUUAUAUUCUCCAAACCGUAAUAAUGCAAAACUACAUAACGUCUAUUGAAUUAAAAUUCUAAUUUAUCCUUUGGAAUCCAAAGAAAAAUAUUGAAAAUGACGAUCAUUGACAUUGGCAACAUGGUGUCAGCCCUUGAAGAUAUAAGAUAUUGAAGAUAUUCGGUACUUGAACAAUAAUCCAAACUAGAAUCCUUAAUGUUUUUUUCAAACAGCAAGCAGUUUAGGACAAAUCCGUCUUCUGACCUAGCGUGUAUUACGGUGAUACUUCCUUUAUUUGAAGGUGCUUUCCUCUAACUGUUUUGAGUGGAAUCAACCCAUCCUUUGAAUACAGUGUGGUGCGUAUCGAAUCCUGUUUCAUCAAGCUAAAUUAUGGAUCUGUUGUCUAAUCUUUAUCAUUUAAUUUCUUGAAAGUAAUUAAAUCUCCUAUACCCAAUAACUGUAGUAAUAAUAAAGUUUUAUUGGGGAGGGUCCAUCGAAAGUUAACAGGAUGAAGAUUGAGAUAGACUAUACCAUUUAUACCUUCCAGUUUCACUUAAAAGGUUUAGGUAGCAUAUCUAUGACGACUACGCCAAAGUUUUCUGGUGACAGUCACCUUAAGCAAGUGAGUGCACGCCCACCCGAAUCACUUUUUGAAUGAAAGAAAGGAAGCCUUCAAUUAGAGACUUUCGUAAGUUCAAAAUCUGUUGAAGAACUAGUAGUUGCCUAGUUGCAAUUGCAGUACUACACAAUGCUUUGCAGAUGGACAGGACGGAGGCAAAAAUGUUGUUCUAGCAUUGUGCAGAGAUUAAAUUACUAAAUUUCAAUUAUUAGACAGAGCUGGAGUUAAUCACACCGCACCAGUGACGAGAGCCUCGAAAGAGCGUUUAAUGUAUUUGAUCAAAUGCUACCGACAAGUCAACGAAAAGCAAAUUUGGCUAAUCUUUCGAAAACAUUGCACUCAAAUUAGCUGUCCAAAUUAAGAUAACGACCAGAUACAGCCUAAUCGCGUAUUUCUUCGCUGGUCCUGCCCUGAUAUAAAUACGAAUACUCAUAAACUACAAACGAAUUUAAACCGAUUGUUAUUUAGCACGGACUCGCCACGGUGGAAGACCUUCGGCAAGAAUUACGGCAUUUAAAGGAUCAACAAAACAGGCCGACAUUUUUAACGGUCCGUUGAAGACGAGCAGUUUCGUGUUCGGUUUAGGUGCAAAAUGACGGCGAUAAGUGGCAAAUAUGAACUCGUCAGCCAGGAAAAUAUUUACGAAUACAUGCUGUCGCUAGGAGACACUCCAGAGAACGCCAAGAAAACUACGGAAGAAGGCAUUAGUAUGAUAUUAGAGGCGGACGAAUCUAAAGUGAUCAUUGACGCCUUCGGAAGACGUACGACAUUUCUUUUUGGACAAGAAACAACUGAAACUCUUCCGAGUGGCCAUCCAAUUACGAGUACUGCUCAACUCGAUGGAAAUAUUUUGACUAUACGCACGACAAUAGUGGAAGGACUCACUCAAGAGAGAGUUUUUACGUUUUCAGGCGAUGAAGUUGUUGUGAUUGUUACAAAUUCGCUAGGAGUAUCAGCAAAAAGGAUAUACAAAAAAAUUUGAUCUAUGGAGAACUCAGUUUCCUGGUUUCGGGAUAUUCGUCGAAGGAUUUCAUUAUAUAUAUUAUAUUAUAUAUUAUAAUAUUGUCAUUGUCUUGCUAUAUAGGAUAAACUAUCUGCUUACGGAGAUUAUGUUUGUUUGCGAGCUUUUAUAAGUAGUAUGUGAAUAAUAAAUAUGCCUCAUUGA